rnacentral:tRNA from 1 species
GUCAGAGUGGUGUAGUGGUUUGAGCAUUUGACUAUGACUCUGGAGACCAGGGUUUGAAUCCUCACUCUGCCA